rnacentral:rRNA from 1 species
GAUGAACGCUGGCGGCGUGCCUAAUACAUGCAAGUCGAGCGAACAGACGAGGAGCUUGCUCCUCUGACGUUAGCGGCGGACGGGUGAGUAACACGUGGAUAACCUACCUAUAAGACUGGGAUAACUUCGGGAAACCGGAGCUAAUACCGGAUAAUAUAUUGAACCGCAUGGUUCAAUAGUGAAAGACGGUUUUGCUGUCACUUAUAGAUGGAUCCGCGCCGCAUUAGCUAGUUGGUAAGGUAACGGCUUACCAAGGCAACGAUGCGUAGCCGACCUGAGAGGGUGAUCGGCCACACUGGAACUGAGACACGGUCCAGACUCCUACGGGAGGCAGCAGUAGGGAAUCUUCCGCAAUGGGCGAAAGCCUGACGGAGCAACGCCGCGUGAGUGAUGAAGGUCUUCGGAUCGUAAAACGCUGUUAUUAGGGAAGAACAAAUGUGUAAGUAACUAUGCACGUCUUGACGGUACCUAAGCAGAAAGCCACGGCUAACUACGU